rnacentral:rRNA from 1 species
ACGUGUAGCAGUGAAAUGCGUAGAGAUGUGGAGGAAUACCGAUGGCGAAGGCAGCCUCCUGGGAUAACACUGACGUUCAUGCCCGAAAGCGUGGGUAGCAAACAGGAUUAGAUACCCUGGUAGUNCACGCCCUAAACGAUGUCGAUUAGCUGUUGGGCAGCAUGACUGCUUAGUAGCGAAGCUAACGCGUGAAAUCGACCGCCUGGGGAGUACGGUCGCAAGAUUAAAACCCAAAGGAAUUGACGGGGACCCGCACAAGCGGUGGAUGAUGUGGAUUAAUCCGAUGCAACGCGAAGAACCUUACCUGGUCUUGACAUGUACGGAAUCCUCCAGAGACGGAGGAGUGUCUUCGGGAGCCGUAACACAGGUGCUGCAUGGCUGUCGUCAGCUCGUGUCGUGAGAUGUUGGGUUAAGUCCCGCAACGGGCGCAACCCUUGUCAUUAGUUGCCAUCAUUAAGUUGGGCACUCUAAUGAGACUGCCGGUGACAAGCCGGAGGAAGGUGGGGAUGACGUCAAGUCCUCAUGGCCCUUAUGACCAGGGCUUCACACGUCAUACAAUGGUCGGUACAGAGGGUAGCCAAGCCGCGAGGCGGAGCCAAUCUCACAAAACCGAUCGUAGUCCGGAUUGCACUCUGCAACUCGAGUGCAUGAAGUCGGAAUCGCUAGUAAUCGCAGGUCAGCAUACUGCGGUGAAUACGUUCCCGGGUCUUGUACACACCGCCCGUCACACCAUGGGAGUGGGGGAUACCAGAAGUAG